rnacentral:rRNA from 1 species
AUUGAACGCUGGCGGCAUGCCUAACACAUGCAAGUCGAGCGGAGCGGCGGACGUGUGAGUAAUGCCUAGGAAUCUGCCUGGUAGUGGGGGAUAACGUCCGGAAACGGGCGCUAAUACCGCAUACUAUCAGAUGAGCCUAGGUCGGAUUGGCUAGUUGGUGGGGUAAAGGCCUACCAAGGCGACGAUCCGUAACUGGUCUGAGAGGAUGAUCAGUCACACUGGAACUGGGACACGGUCCAGACUCCUACGGUAGGCAGCAGUGGGGUAUAGUGGACAAUGGGCGAAAACCUGACACAGCCAUGCCGCGUGUGUUGAGAAGGUCUUCGGAUUGUAAAGCACUUUAAGUUGGGAGGCGUUACCAGCAGAAUAAGCACCGGCUAACUUCGUGCCAGCAGCCGCGGUAAUAC